UACUUUGAUAAUUAUUUAAAAAAUUCUGUUUCUCUCUCUUCUUUCUCUCUCCUCAAAAAACACAAAUUCCCAUUUUCUCUCUUCCUCACUCUUCACUCCAAGAACCCACUCUCAAAAUUACCCCAAUUUCUCGAAAUUAGGGUUAGGGUUUGUUCCAUACCUGUAUAAUUUCAUCAACAAGGAGCUCCCUUUUCUCCAAUCAUCUCUAUAAUUUGAUGCGAUAUCAAAACCCUAAUUAAUUCAAAUUUCCCCAAAAUGUACGGUCAUGAGCAGCAUAUGAGCGUGUCAUCGUCUUCUCCCAAUCAUUUGCAGGAACCUCAGACUUUGAUUGAUGAAAACGACAUCGUUCAAGGGGUUGAAGACUCCAUUGAUGAUCAUUACCACCGCCAUAAUCAGCAACGAUGUUCUGACGAUGGUUCUGUUCCUUUCGAAGGAGAUUCAAUUUAUGCUGUUGAUAAUUAUGGGAAGAUUGAAGGUUCUGAUCAGCUCACGCUUUCGUUUCGUGGCCAAGUUUAUGUUUUUGAUUCUGUCACUCCUGAUAAGGUUGAAGCCGUUUUGUUGGUGUUAGGAGGGAAUGUGGGGGGAAGCGCACCAUCUUCAGCUUCACAAGGUGCAGAAGUACCGCAAGUAUCACAUAUGAACCAGCCGGAUAUGAUGGUAUUUCCGGGACGCAGUAGUCUACCACAGCGAGAGGCAUCUUUAAAUAGAUUUCGUCAAAAGAGGAAAGAACGCCGCUUUGAUAAGUUAAUUAGGUAUAAUGUUCGGAAAGAAGUGGCACAGAGGCAGCCCCGUAGCAAAGGACAAUUUACAUCCUCAAAGAAGGGGGAUGAAUCUUCUGGCUGUAAUGCCCAAGAUUCAGGUCCUGAUGAGACACAGAUAGAAACAUUCUGUACACAUUGUGGAAUUAGUUCAAAUUCAACUCCAAUGAUGCGACGUGGACCAAAUGGGCCUAGGACUCUCUGUAAUGCAUGUGGACUUGUAUGGUCAAAUAAGGUCAACAUGCUCUUUAUCUAAUUCGUCCAUUUUGUUGCUAAUUAUAUGAUUGCUUGUUUCCUCCUUCUGGUAAUGCUCUGUACAUAAACCUACUUUAAGUAUGCUGCAUGAUGAAUGACUUUUUUAUUUUCAGUGUUCAGUAGAUUGUGAUGGGCUGUUUUAUUUGUGGUUUUCAUUGCUAAUCUAACGUGGUGAAUUGGUUAGAGUUCAGAAUCCUAUGUUCCUUUUGUAGGAAGCAAUCUUCUUCAUUUUCUUCUUGUCAAGCCUUUCAGAAUUGUUGAGUGCUGAGCCCUUUGGCAUUUGUGCAAGUUCUUUUGGGGGAAUAUUCUUCUCUGUUUGUCACUUGCUGUGGGAGUUUUUGGCUUCAUCUCUGUUCUUAGCUCACUUGUUGUACAAAUGUACAUGGUAUACCUUAAUAAAAUUAUUAAUAAUUACAUCAAAAGGACAUUGAUGUGGGUUUUGUCUUUGUACAAGUCAAGAGUCAAGACUACUGGAGGGAAAUAGAAUUGUCCAUGUACUAGUCAACUGGGAAAAAAAAAAAAAGAAUGUAUUACAGAGAGACUAAGAUUGAAUACCAUUGUUACCCUAGAAAUGUAUAAUUAUUUUGUUAGUGAAGUGCAGUGGUCCAUGUGAUAUUCUGUCCUUCAUUCUCAGGAACCAAGAUCUUAACCAAAUGUAUUUGCGGCCAUUGGUGUAAUCAACACCGUGCUUGUGCAGUAGAAAACAAAUUUCAGAUUUGUGGUUCUGCUGCUGUAGUUUGUCUAGGUACUUUGAGGGAUCUUUCAAAGAAACAAGAUCCAUAUAUUAUGCCUAGUGAACUGACUGGUGAAUCCCCGUAUAGAGCAACUGAUAUACUUGGAGAGGCCAAAUAUGUUACUUUUGGAGAA